rfam:Myotis lucifugus cont2.5042, whole genome shotgun sequence.
CUCACUUCUCGGCCUUUUGGCUAAGAUCAAGUGUAGUAUCUGUUCUUAUCAGUUUAAAAAUGGUUCUCUGAAUUGAAUUACAGUCUACAAAGGUCCCCAAAUCUUUUUGAAGAAUUCUUUAAAAUUUCUCUAAAUUUUAGAGACAGAUUUGAAUAAGAAUGACUAUUACCCAUUUGUGAAGUAGAACCCUC